rnacentral:misc_RNA from 1 species
GAUGAAGAACGUAGCGAAAUGCGAUAAGUAAUGUGAAUUGCAAAAUUCAGUGAAUCAUCGAAUCUUUGAACGCACCUUGCGCCCUUUGGCCAUUCCGAAGGGCAUGCCUGUUUGAGUAUCAUGAACACCUCAACUCUUCAUGGUUUUCCGUGAUGAGCUUGGACUUUGGGGGUCUUGCUGGCCUAUGGUCAGCUCCUCUAAAAUAAAUCAGCUUGCCAGUGUUUGGUGGGUAUCACAGGUGUGAUAACUAUCUACGCUUGUGGUUUUCCACCAGGUAACCUUCAGCAGUGGAGGUUCGCUGGAGCUCACAGAUGUGUCUCUCCUCAGUGAGGACAGCUCUUUGAAUGUUUGAUCUCAAAUCAGGUAGGACUACCCGCUGAACUUAAGCAUAUCAAUAAGCGGAGGA